rnacentral:misc_RNA from 1 species
AAGUCGUAACAAGGUUUCCGUAGGUGAACCUGCGGAAGGAUCAUUACCACACCUAAAAAACUUUCCACGUGAACUGUCGUUAUUUGUUGUGUGUCUGCGCGUUGCUGGCGUGCGUUUGCUUACGCUUCGGUGUUUGCGAGUGCGUGCUGGCGGUGCGCGGACUGAACGAAGGUCGUGUUGCCGUGUGCCUGCUGCACUGCUGACUUUGCAUUGAUUUGCAUGGUCUUGGCGGAGCGGCGGGUGCUGUGCGUGCGCGGCUGACUUACUUUUUCAAACCCCAUACCUAACUUACUGAUUAUACUGUGAGAACGAAAGUUCUUGCUUUUAACUAGAUAACAACUUUCAGCAGUGGAUGUCUAGGCUC